GAUGAACGCUGGCGGCGUGCCUAAUACAUGCAAGUCGAGCGAACGGACGAGAAGCUUGCUUCUCUGAUGUUAGCGGCGGACGGGUGAGUAACACGUGGAUAACCUACCUAUAAGACUGGGAUAACUUCGGGAAACCGGAGCUAAUACCGGAUAAUAUUUUGAACCGCAUGGUUCAAAAGUAAAAGACGGUCUUGCUGUCACUUAUAGAUGGAUCCGCGCUGCAUUAGCUAGUUGGUAAGGUAACGGCUUACCAAGGCAACGAUGCAUAGCCGACCUGAGAGGGUGAUCGGCCACACUGGAACUGAGACACGGUCCAGACUCCUACGGGAGGCAGCAGUAGGGAAUCUUCCGCAAUGGGCGAAAGCCUGACGGAGCAACGCCGCGUGAGUGAUGAAGGUCUUCGGAUCGUAAAACUCUGUUAUUAGGGAAGAACAUAUGUGGAAGUAACUGUGCACAUCUUGACGGUACCUAAUCAGAAAGCCACGGCUAACUACGUG
rnacentral:rRNA from 1 species